rnacentral:lncRNA from 1 species
GGCGCUGAGGAAAAACGCCCCGAUGUCGUCUGGGAUGGAUUCUGACAGGACGGCGGCACGGCCUGCAGCGAGGGGGGCAGGAAUCGGGGUGGUGCGGUGGAGCUGCGCAGGGAAACGUCGGAUGUGGUUAGCUGUGAAGGUGGAAAUUCUUCCUGCCAUGAAACACACUGUUCUCUCAAGACACGACAAGGCAUUCUUCAUUAAAUAGAGUGUGAUUGUGUCGUUCAGAGAGGAGCUACAUCAUUCUGCCUCUUCCUGAGCAUGAUUUGAAUGUCGGGAUCAGCCCAAGACAAUGCAAGAACACAAGCCAUGAAAUCAAGAAUCUAGGAAAAAAGAAGUGUCUUACCUCCGUUUUUUUUCUAGCAAGGGGUUCUGCCUUAUACGGUCUGGGGUAGAGCUGUUUCUUGUGUUCAUAGCAACAUCUGUCCGGUCACUGUCAUUCAUGUCAAGUAGCAGAGCAAUUUGCUGAUUCACUCAAAAGAGACACAGAAUGAGACUUUUUUCAUGGAAGCCUUUUUUUCCCUCCUAUGCUGGCAGACCUAACUCCUGGCUUUGUACUCUCCGGGACAGUCACUUAAUGAGCAGUCAGUGAAUCAAUCCUUACAAGACACACAGACUGAAAUGUUCAAAUGCAACUACCUGAACGUGAAUCGAAGGCACUGAUGGGAGAAUGCAACAACCCUUUGCACAGUGCCCGGCGUCAGUCUUAUGCUUGCUUAUCUCACGGGAAAGUCACACUGUGGAUUUGAAUUCACUAUUUAAUCUAAAUACUCUCAGUGAGACACUGGCUGUCAGAAGUGACUUUGUAAAUCAGUCUACGGGAGAUCGGAAAGGGGAGAAAUAGAUGACAACAAGGAGACGUCUUGAAGGAAGAACUAGGAAACAGCAGAAUGGUUGGAUGUUGGGGAUCCUCCACCUGUACCAGUCAGAAUUCCCUGGCCUCGAGUCUGUCUGUGCUUCAUGAACUAAGCAAAAAAAAAAAAAAAAAAAAGGAAUUAAAAGACAAGGUGAAAAAAAAAAAAGGCAAAAAAAGCAAAAUGUCAGUAUAAGACUUCUUCACCUAAAUCAGAAAAUGCGGUUCUGAAGAGCCCACAGGAAGCUAGUAGACAAGGAGCAGUGGUGGAAUCUUAAUAGAAUUUAGCUGACAAAUGUGGAAGAGUGGCAUGAAUCAAUCAGAGAUUUACAGUUUGGCCAGGUUGGAUGGUUUCCCAGAAGGGUACUGAAAAGAACUUGAAGGCCAUGCAGCUUCUUUCUUUCUCAACUGUGAUUGCAUGACAGUUUAGUGGCUUCUGCCAAGAUGAAAAGGCAUGCAGGCAUCUUAAUAAAGUAGCUAAUGAGCAGAAUUUCUUUUGUUGAUGAAUAAAUGGUUUUUCCUACCUCAUUAUUUUAAAUGUGAGGACUGUGUUCAGUUUGGAGUGUGUUUUUAAACCAGCCUGAUGGACUUGCUUGACAUGGACAGCUCAAAUGGUUUCGUUUUGGCAAACUGGCAACCAGCUGAAAAUGUGAUCUUCUGCUGGUCACAGAGCAACAAGUGGUCUUGUGUGAGUGCAUACGAGUGGAUGAGGCUGUGAUUUGAACGAAGAGCUGAACAGCCAUGUGCCUGCAUCUGAAAGAGAGCACAGCUGGGCAAUGAUAGUGCAGAAGGAAGGCUCUAGAGACUCUUCUCAUUAAAGUAUCUCUGAUUGUCAAAGAGAACUGUUCGUUUGUUCUGUGAAUACUACCAUGCGUUACAGGUCUUGCUGUUUCCAAAGGCGAGUGGUGGUAUAUGGAAUGAAGGCACCAUAGCUGCAAACAGACUGGCAGUGAAAAUCUGAAUUUCGGACAGGACUUUCUAAGAAAUGUAUGUCCACACUGGUCUGCGGAGUCUUUCUGAAAUGAUUGAAGGAAGGAGCCUGCAGGCCUUCACAAGAGGAGUUCCUUUUGGAACCAAAGGCAAUAAAACUCUUAGACUGCCAAUAUCAGGAGCUUGGUUUCAACAACCUGAGAUGCGAUGUGCAUGUGUCUGUUGCCUUAGCCUUUACCUUGAUGUCUUUCCAAAAUGUGUUCUCUGGAGUAAGUUCUCAUACAAGCUAGCCUGCUGUUCUGCAUCUUUUCUGUUUUCCCCAGGCUGCAGCAGGUUCACCUUCUAAGCUGGCCCAUCAGCAAUGCUGUGAGAGCUCAGUAGCUUUAUUUGCCCUGUCUUCUCCGUUUGUUUUUCCUUCAAACCCUUAGCAAGCCUUUUUGUCUUCGCCACCUCUGAACUCUCUGCUGCUGUCUUCUGCCUGGGUCCUACUGCACCAGGGGUCAUCUCUGCUUCAUGUAGUAUGGCCUUGGCCUCCAGCUGCCACUAGUUUGGGUUGAAGGCUGAGCAGGGGCUGUGGGGCUGAGCCCACAGCUGGAACACUGCCAUCAGCAUAGGGGAGGAGGGAAGAGGUCUUUUCUCGCUCUCCUUGCAUAUUUGCACCCAUUGGAGCCUUGGUGUUGCUGCCAUGGACCCACAAGGUUGCCCUCAUCAGUGCUAGGCAUUCAGUAUUCAGCUUGAACGUGGAGGUGUGCUUUGCCAGGAGGAACACCACCAUUUCCAGGCAGCAGGGAUGCACAUCACCAGAUCUCUCAGUGCCACAAGAGGCCAUCCCAACUCCAAACACUACAUGGGGAAGCUGCCUGGAAAAUGGGAGAGAAUUUCUACAUCAGGAGUGACUCAGGACUUUGGUAUAUUGCGUUCUCAAAUAUUUAUUUCAGUGUUCUUAUAAAUGUUUUAUUUGGAGAAAAAUAUUGUAAUUAGC